rnacentral:rRNA from 1 species
GGCGAUCAGAUACCGCCCUAGUUCUGACCGUAAACGAUGCCAACUAGCGAUCCGCCAGUCGACUCAUCGCUCUGGUGGGGAGCUUCCCGGAAACGAAAGUCUUCCGGUUCCGGGGGAAGUAUGGUUGCAAAGCUGAAACUUAAAGGAAUUGACGGAAGGGCACCACCAGGAGUGGAGCCUGCGGCUUAAUUUGACUCAACACGGGGAAACUCACCCGGCCCGGACACCGUAAGGAUUGACAGAUUGAUAGCUUUUUCAUGAUUCGGUGGAUGGUGGUGCAUGGCCGUUCUUAGUUCGUGGAGCGAUUUGUCUGGUUUAUUCCGAUAACGAGCGAGACUCUGGCCUACUAAAUAGUUGACGCAUUGCCACUGUGCGCACAACUUCUUAGAGGGAUUUUCGGUGUUUUCAACCGCACGAAAUUGAGCAAUAACAGGUCUGUGAUGCCCUUAGAUGUCCGGGGCUGCACGCGCGCUACACUGGCAAAAUCAGCGUGCUUGUCCUCCCCCGAAAGGGGUUGGUAAACCGAUGAAAAUUUGCCGUGAUUGGGAUCGGACAUUGCAAUUAUUGUCCGUGAACGAGGAAUCCCUUGUAAGGGCGAGUCAUCAACUCGUCCUGAAUACGUCCCUGCCCUUUGUA